AUACGGACGGUCCGGGCGUUAUCCGGAUUUAUUGGGUUUAAAGGGAGCGCAGGCGGAGAUGCAAGCGUGACGUCAAAUUUCGGGGCUCAACCCCGUCUCGCGUCGCGAACUGCGUCCCUUGGUUGCGGGAAGGGGAGGCGGAACUCGUGGUGUAGCGGUGAAAUGCAUAGAUAUCACGAAGAACUCCGAUCGCGAAGGCAGCCUUCCGGCCCGUCAACGACGCUCAUGCUCGAAGGUGCGGGUAUCAAACAGGAUUAGAUACCCUGGUAGUCCGCACAGUAAACGAUGGACACCCGCGGUUUGGCCUGUAUGGCUGAGCCGCCAAGCGAAAGCGUUAAGUGUCCCACCUGGGGAGUACGCCGGCAACGGUGAAACUCAAAGGAAUUGACGGGG
rnacentral:rRNA from 1 species